rnacentral:misc_RNA from 1 species
GAUGAAGAACGCAGCGAAAUGCGAUAAGUAAUGUGAAUUACAGAAUUCAGUGAAUCAUCGAAUCUUUGAACGCACAUUGCGCCCGUCAGUAUUCUGGCGGGCAUGCCUGUUCGAGCGUCAUUACGCCCCUCAAGUCCCCUGUGGACUUGGUGUUGGGGAUCGGCGAGGCUGGUUUUCCAGCACAGCCGUCCCUUAAAUUAAUUGGCGGUCUCGCCGUGGCCCUCCUCUGCGCAGUAGUAAAACACUCGCAACAGGAGCCCGGCGCGGUCCACUGCCGUAAAACCCCCCAACUUUUUAUAGUUGACCUCGAAUCAGGUAGGACUACCCGCUGAACUUAAGCAUAUCAAUAAGCGGAGGA